CUGGGAGAUUCCAUUUCCCAAAUUCCAUUGUACUUAGGCUGGGGCCAGAUGACUGGACUUUCGCCAGUGGAAUGUGGCGGAAGAGAUGCAAGCUGCUUCUGGGCCUGGCAUGAAAGCCUGAACAUGCUCCCUCUUCCCCUUCUGUGACAACAUGGAAAUUCACGUGUUUAAGAUGGUGGCAGCAUACGAUGGAAGGAGCUUAGAUUCCUGAGUCACCUCCUGGAAGAGAGCCACCAAGCUGCUUUCCAUGUGAUUUGAGGAGUUCUAUGUCCUCCCCUACGACUGAUUGCUGAAGACAGACCUCCCGGCAAGAGCAUUUGACCAAAUCUUGGUGACCCAGAGAAACACGUGUAUCCAUCAGGCAUUGAGUCACAUCAAUGAAACGACACUAAGCCGGGCUCAAUUCUCCAACCUGGUUUUCUUUACAGUUCACUCUCUCCCUGGGGAAGCACUGAGGACCACAAGAGGCUGAGGCAAAGCAUAGUCAUUGACUGUAGAAGACAGUAAUGAAAUACAUAUAAGCAAAGACAAAAGAAAAACAUCCAUAAUUCACUGUCUCGAAGAUGUUCACUAAGUCUUCCAGACUGUCACAGACCUCUGAGCCCAAGCUAAGCCAUCAUCUCCCCAGCGACCUGCACGUACACAUCCAGAUGGCCUGAAGCAACUGAAGAUCCACAGAAGUGAAAACAGCUUAACUGAUGACAUUCCACCACUGUGAUUUGUUUCUGCCCCACCCUAACAGAUCAAUGUACUUUGUAAUUUCCCCUACCCUUGAGAAGUUGCUUUGUAAUUCUCCCUGCCCUUGAGAAUGUACUUGGUGAGCUUCACUCCCUGCCCCCAAAACAUUGCUCUUAACUUCACUGCCUAUCCCAAAAC